AACGAACGCUGGCGGCAGGCUUAACACAUGCAAGUCGAGCGCACCUUCGGGUGAGCGGCGGACGGGUGAGUAACGUGUGGGAACGUGCCCUUCUCUAUGGAAUAGUCUCGGGAAACUGAGGGUAAUACCAUAUACGCCCUACGGGGGAAAGAUUUAUCGGAGAAGGAUCGGCCCGCAUUAGAUUAGAUAGUUGGUGGGGUAAUGGCCUACCAAGUCUACGAUCUAUAGCUGGUUUUAGAGGACGACCAGCCACACUGGGACUGAGACACGGCCCAGACUCCUACGGGAGGCAGCAGUGGGGAAUCUUAGACAAUGGGCGCAAGCCUGAUCUAGCCAUGCCGCGUGUGUGAUGAGGGUCUUAGGAUCGUAAAGCACUUUCGCUGGGGAAGAUAAUGACUGUACCCAGUAAAGAAGUCCCGGCUAACUCCGUGCCAGCAGCCGCGGUAAUACGGAGGGGACUAGCGUUGUUCGGAAUUACUGGGCGUAAAGCGCACGUAGGCGGAUCAGCAAGUUAGGGGUGAAAUCCCGGGGCUCAACCCCGGAACUGCCUUUAAAACUGUUGGUCUAGAGUUCGAGAGAGGUGAGUGGAAUUCCAAGUGUAGAGGUGAAAUUCGUAGAUAUUUGGAGGAACACCAGUGGCGAAGGCGGCUCACUGGCUCGAUACUGACGCUGAGGUGCGAAAGUGUGGGGAGCAAACAGG
rnacentral:rRNA from 1 species